rnacentral:rRNA from 1 species
GCCCAGAUGGGAUUAGCUUGUUGGUGGGGUAACGGCUCACCAAGGCGACGAUCCCUAGCUGGUCUGAGAGGAUGACCAGCCACACUGGAACUGAGACACGGUCCAGACUCCUACGGGAGGCAGCAGUGGGGAAUAUUGCACAAUGGGCGCAAGCCUGAUGCAGCCAUGCCGCGUGUAUGAAGAAGGCCUUCGGGUUGUAAAGUACUUUCAGCGGGGAGGAAGGGAGUAAAGUUAAUACCUUUGCUCAUUGACGUUACCCGCAGAAGAAGCACCGGCUAACUCCGUGCCAGCAGCCGCGGUAAUACGGAGGGUGCAAGCGUUAAUCGGAAUUACUGGGCGUAAAGCGCACGCAGGCGGUUUGUUAAGUCAGAUGUGAAAUCCCCGGGCUCAACCUGGGAACUGCAUCUGAUACUGGCAAGCUUGAGUCUCGUAGAGGGGGGUAGAAUUCCAGGUGUAGCGGUGAA